rnacentral:rRNA from 1 species
GACGAACGCUGGCGGCGCGCUUAACACAUGCAAGUCGAACGGAAAGGCCUGCUUUCCCUUGUGGAUUGCGGGUACUCGAGUGGCGAACGGGUGAGUAACACGUGAGUGAUCUGCCCCCAACUUGGGUAUAAGCCUGGGAAACUGGGUCUAAUUCCCGAUAGGACUGCAGGGUGGUGCCUGUGGUGGAAAACGAUUUUCUAGUGGUUGGGGAUGAGCUCGCGGCCUAUCAGCUUGUUGGUGGGGUAAUGGCCUACCAAGGCGGCGACGGGUAGCCGGCCCGGGAGGGUGGACGGCCACAUUGGGACUGAGAUACGGCCCAGACUCCUACGGGAGGCAGCAGUGGGGAAUAUUGCACAAUGGGCGGAAGCCUGAUGCAGCGACGCCGCGUGGGGGAUGACGGCCUUCGGGUUGUAAACUCCUUUCGACCGCGAGGAAGCCACCUGGUUGGAAGGGUGGUGACGGUAGUGGUAGAAGAAGCACCGGCUAACUACGUG